CGGAACACGUACGCAACCUUCCUUUAACUGGAGAAUAGCCCCUCGAAAGAGGGAUUAAUACUCCGUAACAUAUACAUGUGGCAUCACAAAUAUAUUAUAGCUCCGGCGGUUAAAGAUGGGCGUGCGCCUGAUUAGAUAGUUGGCGGGGUAACGGCCCACCAAAUCUGCGAUCAGUAACUGGUGUGAGAGCACGACCAGUCACACGGGCACUGAGACACGGGCCCG
rnacentral:rRNA from 1 species